rnacentral:rRNA from 1 species
GGUUAAGCGACUAAGCGUACACGGUGGAUGCCCUGGCAGUCAGAGGCGAUGAAGGACGUGCUAAUCUGCGAUAAGCGCCGGUAAGGUGAUAUGAACCGUUAUAACCGGCGAUUUCCGAAUGGGGAAACCCAGUGUGACUCGUCACACUAUCAUUAACUGAAUCCAUAGGUUAAUGAGGCGAACCGGGGGAACUGAAACAUCUAAGUACCCCGAGGAAAAGAAAUCAACCGAGAUUCCCCCAGUAGCGGCGAGCGAACGGGGAGGAGCCCAGAGCCUGAAUCAGCAUGUGUGUUAGUGGAAGCGUCUGGAAAGGCGCGCGAUACAGGGUGACAGUCCCGUACACAAAAGCGCAUGUGUUGUGAGCUCGAUGAGUAGGGCGGGACACGUGGUAUCCUGUCUGAAUAUGGGGGGACCAUCCUCCAAGGCUAAAUACUCCUGACUGACCGAUAGUGAACCAGUACCGUGAGGGAAAGGCGAAAAGAACCCCGGCGAGGGGAGUGAAAAAGAACCUGAAACCGUGUACGUACAAGCAGUGGGAGCACCCUUC